AUUGAACGCUGGCGGCAGGCCUAACACAUGCAAGUCGAGCGGAUAAAGAGAGCUUGCUCUCUGAUUCAGCGGCGGACGGGUGAGUAACGCCUAGGAAUCUGCCUGGUAGUGGGGGACAACGUUUCGAAAGGAACGCUAAUACCGCAUACGUCCUACGGGAGAACGUGGGGGAUCUUCGGACCUCACGCUAUCAGAUGAGCCUAGGUACGAUUAGCUAGUUGGUGAGGUAAAGGCUCACCAAGGCGACGAUCGUUAACUGGUCUGAGAGGAUGAUCAGUCACACUGGAACUGAGACACGGUCCAGACUCCUACGGGAGGCAGCAGUGGGGAAUAUUGGACAAUGGGCGAAAGCCUGAUCCAGCCAUGCCGCGUGUGUGAAGAAGGUCUUCGGAUUGUAAAGCACUUUAAGUUGGGAGGAAGGGCAGUAAGUUAAUACCUUGCUGUUUUGACGUUACCGACAGAAUAAGCACCGGCUAACUUCGUGCCAGCCGCCGCAGUAACAC
rnacentral:rRNA from 1 species